rnacentral:rRNA from 1 species
CCCUGGCUCAGGAUGAACGCGGGCGGCGUGCUUAACACAUGCAAGUCGAACGAUGACCCGGUGCUUGCACCGGUGAUUAGUGGCGAACGGGUGAGUAACACGUGAGUAACCUGCCCUUAACUCUGGGAUAAGCCUGGGAAACUGGGUCUAAUACCGGAUAUGACUCCUCAUCGCAUGGUGGGGGGUGGAAAGCUUUAUUGUGGUUUUGGAUGGACUCGCGGCCUAUCAGCUUGUUGGUGAGGUAAUGGCUCACCAAGGCGACGACGGGUAGCCGGCCUGAGAGGGUGACCGGCCACACUGGGACUGAGACACGGCCCAGACUCCUACGGGAGGCAGCAGUGGGGAAUAUUGCACAAUGGGCGCAAGCCUGAUGCAGCGACGCCGCGUGAGGGAUGACGGCCUUCGGGUUGUAAACCUCUUUCAGUAGGGAAGAAGCGAAAGUGACGGUACCUGCAGAAGAAGCGCCGGCUAACU